UGCCCACCUCCCACCUCGUCCGCGUGGACGCCGUGGGCGGGUAGGCCACCGUCCCCAACUGUCCCGUCCCUGAAACCCAGCGCCCCAGGCUCCGCGCAGGACAAGCGCGGUACUACAGAAACCAACGCAAGCGCCUUCUCCCUCCGCCUCUCCUAAGCCGCCCGCCUUCCCCAGGAGCAGCCGGAACGGCAUCCGCUCGCCCCGGCCGGGGUCGAAUCGUCGAGCCGUGAUCCCCUUCCACUCAACGCGAUUCGGUAUCGCUGCGGCGGUGUCGAACGUCGAGCUCGCUCGCCACCGGCGGUUGAGGCGGGGGGACGCACCGCUCAAAGCUUACUUGGUUGCGAAACUUGGCAGUAUAGUUUCCUAGACGCGUUGCAUGGCGUAUCGUCGUUGGAAUGGACGCUGGGUGGUGAGGCCGUCAGCAGGUACAGAGACCUGGGCCAAUCUGCUAGGUGUCGUGCUAUUUGAGCACGCAUAGUUAGAACAUCGAAGUGAACUAUGCUGUGUGUGUGGCUUCUCGAUGCUUUGGUUCGUUGGAUCAGAUUGGCUCUUGGUAUGAUACUAUGAUUGCCGUGAGUUCAGUACUUAUUCUAAAGAUUCUGUGAGCAAUGUUACUGUUUGUCAUUCUUGAUGUAUUGUGUUUACCUA